UGCAGCAACAUGCCAUCAUAUAUAUUAUUUAGGAUUAAUUGAAAUUACAUGGGGAUACCUAUUAUAUAACAACUUCUAUUUCAACAAGUACAUUUUAUAACACUUCGUACAAUGCUGCAUAUUACAUUCCUGUAGAACAGGACGUAAGUUAUUCAUCUUGCAGAACGUAAUUAAGUAGUAGAUAUUAUGGGAUAAUUAAAUGAAGAGAGGCGCCAUAGGCUCUUAAUUAGUGACCCCAGCCAUACGUAGUAGUGGUGGCCGGGCAGAUGACGUCUUACAUUUUGUCGCGCUGCUGCUUCCCCGUGGUGGAUUGCUUUUGCUCCAGUCCUCCUGUGCCGUACGAGGUUCUCAGUUAGAAUAGCUCUGUUAACACUGUAACAAAAUAAUAUCUAGGUCAUUUUUUUAUUUAACAUCAUUGACUUUUAUAUCUGUAUUUGACCAUUUGCCAUAUUUAAUUUUCUUGUGAAAACAUACAAAAUUAUAAUUCAUUUUUAAAAUUUCUUUAGUAAUAAAUUAAAUUAUAACAAAAUAAUUAAUAAUUAUAUGAUUUUGUUAAUAAGAAAAAUAGUUAAAUACAUAUAUGAUAUAAAAAUCAACGCCGUCGAAUAAAAAAAAUCUGAAUGAAUAUAUCGUAUAGAACUCACUCUGUGGAGUUGACUUAUCCCGGUCAUGUUUACUGUUAUCUCCUCCCUCAGUCGACCGCGGUUUAGAAUCCGUCUGAUAGAUCUUCUCCGAAGCGUCGUUUAUUU
rnacentral:lncRNA from 1 species